rnacentral:rRNA from 1 species
AGCGUAGGAGACAAACGUUAUCCGGAGUUACUGGGCGUAAAGGGCGUGCAGGCGGUCGACUAAGUCUGGCGUGAAAGCUCUCGGCUAAACCGGGAGAGGUCGUUGGAUACUGGUUGACUAGAGGACGGUAGAGGCGUGUGGAAUUCCGGGUGUAGUGGUGAAAUGCGUAGAGAUCCGGAGGAACACCAGUGGCGAAGGCGACACGCUGGGCCGUACCUGACGCUGAUACGCGACAGCAUGGGGAGCGAACGGG